rnacentral:misc_RNA from 1 species
GAUGAAGAACGCAGCGAAAUGCGAUACGUAAUGUGAAUUGCAGAAUUCAGUGAAUCAUCGAAUCUUUGAACGCAUAUUGCGCUCUCUGGUAUUCCGGAGAGCAUGCUUGUUUGAGUAUCAGUAAACACCUCAACUCCCCUUUCUUUUUUUGAAAUGGGAGCUGGACUUGAGUGAUCCCAACGCUUUUCUCACCGAAAAGUGGCGGGUUACUUGAAAUGCAGGUGCAGCUGGACUUUUCUCUGAGCUAAAAGCAUAUCUAUUUAGUCUGCCUAAAAAACAGAUUAUUACCUUUGCUGCAGCUAACAUAAAGGAGAUUAGUUCUUGUGCUGACUGAUGCAGGAUUCACAGAGACAGCUUCGGCUGGCCUUUGUAAACUCGAUCUCAAAUCAAGUAAGACUACCCGCUGAACUUAAGCAUAUCAAUAAGCGGACGA